AUGGGGAACAGAAUAGGAGGGAGGAGGAAGGCCGGGGUGGAGGAGCGGUACACGAGGCCGCAGGGUCUGUACGAGCACAGGGAUAUCGACCAGAAGAAGCUACGCAAGUUGAUCCUCGAGGCCAAGCUCGCGCCCUGCUACCCGGGGGCUGACGACGCCGCGGGGGGUGACCUGGAGGAGUGCCCCAUCUGCUUCCUGUACUACCCAAGCCUUAACCGAUCAAAAUGUUGCUCGAAAGGGAUAUGUACAGAGUGCUUUCUUCAAAUGAAGCCAACUCAUACUGCUCGACCUACACAAUGCCCAUUCUGCAAAACCCCCAACUAUGCUGUGGAGUAUCGUGGUGUAAAGACAAAGGAGGAAAGGAGCAUAGAGCAAUUUGAAGAACAGAAAGUCAUUGAAGCACAGAUGAGGAUGCGCCAGCAAGCACUUCAAGACGAAGAGGAUAAGAUGAAAAGAAAACAGAGUAGGUGCUCUUCUAGCAGAACAAUCGCUCCAACAACAGAAGUGGAGUAUCGAGAUAUUUGCAGCACAUCCUAUUCAGUGCCAUCGUACCAAUGUACCGAGCAAGAAACUGAAUGUUGUUCGUCUGAGCCUUCAUGUUCUGCUCAGGCUAACAUGCGGUCUUUCCAUUCUAGGCAUACUCGUGAUGAUAACAUAGACAUGAACAUAGAGGACAUGAUGGUUAUGGAAGCGAUUUGGCGUUCAAUUCAGGAGCAAGGAAGUAUAGGAAAUCCUGCUUGUGGGAGUUUUAUGCCUUUUGAGCAACCAACGUGUGAGAGGCAGGCAUUCGUUGCAGCUCCUCCUCUAGAAAUACCCCAUCCUGGUGGAUUUUCUUGUGCUGUUGCUGCUAUGGCUGAGCACCAGCCAUCAAGCAUGGAUUUCUCUUACAUGACUGGUAGUAGUGCGUUCCCAGUCUUUGACAUGUUCCGCCGACCGUGCAACAUUGCUGGUGGAAGCAUGUGUGCUGUGGAGAGUUCACCAGAUAGCUGGAGCGGGAUAGCGUCAAGUUGCAGCAGAAGGGAAGUGGUAAGAGAGGAAGGAGAGUGCUCAACUGACCACUGGUCAGAGGGUGCAGAGGCCGGGACAAGCUACGCCGGCUCGGACAUCGUGGUGGAUGCGGGGACAACGCCACCGUUGCCUGUUACUGACAAUUACAGUAUGGUUGCAAGCCAUUUCCGUCCUGAGAGCAUCGAAGAACAAAUGAUGUAUUCCAUGGCUGUUUCUUUAGCAGAAGCUCAUGGUAGAACGCACACGCAAGGGUUGGCAUGGUUGUAA
rnacentral:rRNA from 1 species